rnacentral:rRNA from 1 species
UACAGAGGUCUCAAGCGUUGUUCGGAUUCAUUGGGCGUAAAGGGUGCGUAGGUGGCGCCAUAAGUCAGGUGUGAAAUCUCGGAGCUCAACUCCGAAACUGCACUUGAUACUGUGGUGCUUGAGGACUGGAGAGGAGACUGGAAUUUACGGUGUAGCGGUGAAAUGCGUAGAUAUCGUAAGGAAGACCAGUGGCGAAGGCGGGUCUCUGGACAGUUCCUGACGCUGAGGCACGAAGGUCAGGGGAGCAAACGGG